UAAGCAAUUAUACAGCGAAACUGCGAAUGGCUCAUUAUAUAAGUUAUCGUUUAUUUGAUAGUACCUUACUACUUGGAUAACCGUGGUAAUUCUAGAGCUAAUACAUGCUAAAAAUCUCGACUUCGGAAGGGAUGUAUUUAUUAGAUUAAAAACCAAUGCCCUUCGGGGCUCUCUGGUGAUUCAUGAUAACUUCUCGAAUCGCAUGGCCUUGCGCCGGCGAUGGUUCAUUCAAAUUUCUUCCCUAUCAACUUUCGAUGUUUGGGUAUUGGCCAAACAUGGUUGCAACGGGUAACGGAGGGUUAGGGCUCGACCCCGGAGAAGGAGCCUGAGAAACGGCUACUACAUCCAAGGAAGGCAGCAGGCGCGCAAAUUACCCAAUCCCGACUCGGGGAGGUAGUGACAAUAAAUACUGAUACAGGGCUCUUUUGGGUCUUGUAAUUGGAAUGAGUACAAUUUAAAUCCCUUAACGAGGAACAAUUGGAGGGCAAGUCUGGUGCCAGCAGCCGCGGUAAUUCCAGCUCCAAUAGCGUAUAUUAAAGUUGUUGUGGUUAAAAAGCUCGUAGUUGAACCUUGGGCCUGGCUGGCCGGUCCGCCUCACCGCGUGUACUGGUCCGGCCGGGCCUUUCCCUCUGUGGAACCCCAUGCCCUUCACUGGGUGUGGCGGGGAAACAGGACUUUUACUUUGAAAAAAUUAGAGUGCUCCAGGCAGGCCUAUGCUCGAAUACAUUAGCAUGGAAUAAUAGAAUAGGACGUGUGGUUCUAUUUUGUUGGUUUCUAGGACCGCCGUAAUGAUUAAUAGGGACAGUCGGGGGCAUCAGUAUUCAAUUGUCAGAGG
rnacentral:rRNA from 2 species